GGGCUGGUAGAUCAGUGGUAGAUCGCACGCUUGGCAUGCGUGAGGCCGCGGGUUCAAUUCCCGCCCAGUCCA
rnacentral:tRNA from 1 species